rnacentral:tRNA from 1 species
GCGCCGGUGGUGUAAGACGUAGCUGCCCGGAAAGCAGAAGGUGCGGCUUUGAGUCCCGCCUGGCGCA